rnacentral:rRNA from 1 species
CCUACGGGGGGCAGCAGUGAGGAAUAUUGGUCAAUGGACGAGAGUCUGAACCAGCCAAGUAGCGUGAAGGAUGACUGCCCUAUGGGUUGUAAACUUCUUUUAUAAAGGAAUAAAACGACGCACGUGUGCCUUUUUGCAUGUACUUUAUGAAUAAGGAUCGGCUCACUCCGUGCCAGCAGCCGCGGUAAUACGGAGGAUCCUAGCGUUAUCCGGAUUUUUUGGGUGUAAAGGGAGCGUAGAUGGGUUGUUAAGUCAGUUGUGAAAGUUUGCGGCUCAAACGUAAAAUUGCAAUUGAUACUGGAAGUCUUGAGUACAGUUGAGGUAGGCGGAAUUCGUGGUGUAGCGGUGAAAUGCUUAGAUAUCACGAAGAACCCCGAUUGCGAAGGCAGCUUACUAAACUGUGACUGACAUUGAUGCUCGAAAGUGUGGGUAUCAAACAGGAUUAGAUACCCGAGUAGUC